CAAUAGCGUAUAUUAAAGUUGUUGCAGUUAAAAAGCUCGUAGUUGAAUUUCGGGUGCUCGUGUUCGGUGCUUGAUUGUGCCGUCGCGUGUGCCCUCCUCGCCUUUGGCGUCAUUUACUGUGAAAAAAUUAGAGUGUUCAAAGCAGGCAUUCGCUUGAAUACAUUAGCAUGGAAUAAUAAGAUAGGGUCUUGUCUAUUUUGUUGGUUGCGGACAAAGAUAAUGAUUAAUAGGGAUAGUUGGGGGUGUCCGUAUUGAGCUGUCAGAGGUGAAAUUCUUAGAUUUGCUCAAGACGAACUACUGCGAANGNAUUCACNAAGGAUGUUUNCAUUA
rnacentral:rRNA from 1 species